UGAGUUCAAAGACAAAAUAUCAUUUCCAACGUCCAUAGCACUUCUCCAAUCGACCAUCUAGUUUCCACUCUCUAGCUCCGCUCCAGUCUCUCCCAUCCGAGAGCAUUAGUCCCAAAAUCUUACAAAAUCGGUGACCGGCAACGACUGAGAUGAGCAGGCGAGUGGCGAACAACCGACCUACUACGAUGAGAGAUAGUAUUUGACUGAGAAUCGAGCAGAAACUGUUGUUGGAAACGAUCUUAAAGAAUUGUGGGGACAUUGUCUAUAUGCAUGUGGCAGAGAGAGAUGUUCUUCAUGAGUUGGUUAAGAUAGUAAAGAAAAAGCCUGACUUUCAUGUCAAGGAGAAGAUGUUGAUUCUAAUAGAUACUUGACAAGAAGCUUUUGGAGGACCGAGGGCAAGACAUCCACAAUAUUUUGCAGCAUACCAGGAGUUGACUUUAACUAGCUUGACAGAAAUUCAGAAUGCAUGUGGCAUUAUGGAUGUCCUUUCUGAAAUGCUGAAUGCAUUAGAUCCAAGCAACGAAAAGGUACUAUUCAAACACUACUUGAAUUGACACUUUGAAAAUCUGCUGCAACGGAGAAGCCCAAGCCUGAAUCUAGUGGAGCACUAGUAGAUGUAGAUGGUCCUCUAGUUAGCACCAAUGACGCUACUAAACAGCCAGAUGAGAGGUAUUUUAUUUAUUCAAACUUUUUAUACUGUGACUAAAACCGUUGGUAUCAGUUGGAACUGUUUUAUACUUGAUGAAUAUAUUUAUGUUCACUGCCUAAGUCUUACUACUUCAGAUUAUGUUACUAAAAUUUUGAAGUUAUAUCAGGCUGGGGCUCAUGUUUUAACUGGUUACCUGUGACUUAAAACUAGUUAUUGGCUUUAGUUGGUCGUAGACUUGCUUGGGAUUAUGAAUUUGAUUGUAUUAGUUAUUUCAAGUUGCCUCUGUGUUUUAACGAUUCUUUGGCUGAAUUAUCAAUUAAAACUAUUUUGACUAGGUUAUGUUUUAAAGUGCUUUGAACAAUUAAGAUGAACAAUCUCAACAUAUGGUAAAGAUUUUGACCUACGUUCUUGAGUAAUCAAUUAAAAUAUGUCGGCUGGAUCAGUUUGUUGAUCACCAUUCCUUUGUAACAUGUUACAGUAAGGCCUAUGUUCGAGUGCCAGGUUUCCUUUUUAUGGAAUAUAUAGAAAGAUAUCUUGUUAAUUGUGAAUAUUGAAAUUCCAAGUAGGGCUGGAUUCGAGCCGAACCGAGCCCGAACAUGGCCCAGCUCAUUUUCGGCUCGUUUUCAGUGAGCCCAAGCUCGGGCUCGGGCUCGCCGAGCUCGCUAAACACAUGUUUGUGUUCGGCUCGUUUUAUGAUUUUAGUGUCCGGGUUCGUGUGUUCAGGCUCGGGUUCGCUUUGAGCUCGUAUUUCAAAGAACAAAACGGUGUCGUUUUUUGCUUAAAAUUAUUUUUUUUAUUUGAGUGAGCAGCUCGCGAGCUGGGCUCAGCUCGCUUAACCGGUGUUCAGAUUUGGGCUUGUUUUCGUUUUUUGCUCAAAAUUCAGUCUCGCGUUCGGGCUCGGGCUCGUUCAAGGUAAGCUCGGGCUCGGGCUCGUUCGAGCAAAGCUCGUUUCGAGCCCAAACAAGCUCGCUUCGAAUCCAGCCCUAAUUCCAAGUCCUUAAUGAUAUAAACUUGUCAAAUGACCUCCUUUAUCCUUUUUCAUAUUUCAUUAAGUUAGCAUGAACUGGGCUACGUUUAUGAAUCAUAAAAGGGGAGAAAGUGAGAAUGUAGUUCUACAAGCAAUGGAUCUUGAAUAAUUACAACUACGGCCUUCCAAACGUGCAUUCAAAUGCUAGUGUAGGUACCUUGGAUUUCGUACAUUAGAAUCUAUCUUCUAUUGAUAAUGGGGGGGAAUUUUUUCAUGAUUAUUAAUUUGGUAGAAUUGACAUUAUGAUUGAUUCGAUCUAUUUUGGUUUCCUUUAUUGUGUUUGAUAAUAUUAUGUUUAGUGAUUGAUAAAUAUUACUAUGAUAACGGGGAUAUUCAUCAUUGAUAUUAUAUUUAGUAAUUGAUGAAUAUAACGACAAGAAUAUUCAUUGUUAAUAUUAUGUAUAGUGAUGGAUAAAUAUUGUUAUAACGAUGAGAAUAUUUAUCGUUGAAAUUAAUAUUUUUAACAAUGAAACUUACACUUCUCAUUAUUUAUAUUAAUGAUGGGUUUUUUCAUCUCAUCGUUAAUACAUUUAGCGGUGUAUGCUAUGACGAUGGGUGAUGAAGAGAUUUUUUUCGUUGUUAAAACUCUUUAGCGAUUGGAAAUAGAUUUUUAAUGACUAAUUUUCCUCUUGUUAUAGCCCCUUUUUUUUUUGGUAGUGCCACCAUUAACAUCUUCUUUACCUACUUCUAAUAGAAUUCCUCAAAUGCCACUUCAAUAAUUUAUCUCCAUACUCAAGGUAAAAAAUAUUAAUAAACAAAACAUAUACACCUACAGUUAAAGAGUGUCACUAGAAGAUUGACUCAAAAUCAAUAAUUCCAACAACUUCCCUAAUGUAAUGCCCAUUCCAAUAAAUGGAACACUCAUUCCUCUGUGUCGGGUAAUGGAAGUUAUAGAGAAAAAUGUGGUCUUGAAAGAAUGGAAGAGGGUAAUAACUAUAGCAAAUGGAACACGUGUUCCAAAAUAUGGGAUGUCUAUUUUGACGGUUAUUAUAAAAAAAUCUAUAUAAGGGAACCCCAUUUUAGAGUAGAGGUUCAUCAUUAAAAAAUUUAGAAUGGAUAGUUGUUAUAAAGAGCAAACAAUAAUUAAGAGUAAAGACAAUGGUUGUUCUAUAGGGAGGGACACCUGUUCUAUAGAGUAAAGAUGAAUGAUCAUUUUAAGUUUAUGAAAAACCAAUGCAGCAAGUUGUACCACAAGUUUAUGGAACAUUAUGACCAUGAAUUAAGACAAUAUGUCAUAAGUUGUGAUAUAUGACAAUGAGAAUAAGUUGGUCAUGUGUUGUGUGAUCCAUGGCAAUGAGAUAAAGUUAUGAAAGUCAUGUAUUGUGUGAUCUAUAGCUUAAGUGUAUUAGACAUGAAAGCGUAUGAAAGCCAUGCAAUUUCAAAGAGGGCUAAAGCAUAUUCACAUGAUGCAUUAAAAACAUAUUUCAAAUUUAUGGUAUAAGAAAAUGAGUUGUGUUCGUUUUACAUGUUUUCCAAAGCUAUAAGGUGUUGUGUAUUAUAACGGAAUUUGGUCAUAUAGCCCUGAGUGUGGGACACGAUCCCAUGAGAUAUUAAGUUUUAUGAACACUCAAGAGAAAAUAUGUUUUUCUAAUGAGUGCAUAAUAUGUUUUCAUAAGGGUUGUUACAAAGGGCACUCAUAAGUGACUUCAUGCAAAUGUGUUGCAAUAGGGCACAUUAGCACACCCGAAAUAGAAGUGAUAGUUAAUAAUUAAUAUUAGUAGUCCAUGAUGUUGUAUGCAUGGAAGGGCACUAUAAUAGUUAUGAUAAGCUCAUGCGAUUAAGGUGUUGAAUCCUUGUCUCACUUGAGUCAGCAUAGCAAGUAAACACAGGUUUAAAGAAAUUCUUUAUUUUUUUUAUAAAAUUUUCUUUCAAGAUUUUAAAUAAUUUUAGAAUGCAUAUAACAAAGGUCACAUACUUAUUGAGUUUAAAGAAAUCCUUGUGUCACUGUAGAUGAUAAGGACAAUAUUAAAGGAUAUGUAAGUUAUGAGAUGAAACGAAGGUUAGACAUGAUAAGAAAAGUUAAGGUACCACAAAGUCACUUAUUUAUUGAGUUUUUAUAAAGAACUCUGACACUUUACUCGGAGAGACAAAACUCAGCUUGCUUGAUCAUAGAAAAAACUAGCAUCCAAAGAUCCUCAUAGAAGGACUGCAGCUCAGGACUGUCAGACCAGAACCCAUCAACAGAGGAUAAUUAAGCCCAAACCAGAGGACCAGAUCAUCAUGUGGCAAUCCAGGAGCAAAAAUUUGAAGAUGCAAGAAAAGCCUGCGGGAAGAAUUCAAGCCAACCAGACCAGCAAAGAUUGAAGGCCCAUGAGGACCAGAAGCAUGCCUCAAGUGCAAGGAAACCAAGUAGCAGACCAGGAGAAAUUUUUGAGGGCGCCAAACCAAGCCACAGCUGGGGAAAAAGGAGGCCAGGAGAACAACAGCAGGAGAAGCAGGGGAAUCAACCGCAAAAACAGGGGAGCACAGAAAACUGAUGCAAAAGCUUCUGACCAGAAUUUAGAAGCAAACACAAGCACCAGGAAACAGGAGAUUCAAGCUCCAGAAGACAGUAGCGAAAAGGCAGGUUUCGAAAGCCACCAGGAAAGAGCAGAAAAGAAAAUCCAAGCAGCAGAGUUGAGGCAAUGGGGAGGGGGAAAGCUAUCAAUAUCAACCACUGCAACCAGAACCAAAGCCUCCAGAGUAGGACCCGCCUAAAGAUCAGAAAGAGGGAACUUACAAAAGAACACACUGUUAGCAAAAAGGGCUGCCACCUCCAAAGAGGAGAAGCCUUAGCAUUUGAAGGUGCAAGAUGCAGUUCAGAAGGCCCCAGGUCCUAGCAAUGGCUUUAUUGACAUUAGUAGGUGAAACAUUUGAGAGGUCAGCCCCUUUACCUCUUACCAGUCUUCUGAUCCUUUCCACAAUUCUAUCUUUGGGCUGCAGAAGAUUAGGGAAAAUCCUGUUGUUGCUUUCCUUCCAAAUAACUCAUUCUGAGCCAACCUUGUAGAAAACUGACCAUUGGUCAAGGGCAACCAUGCGAUAGAGUCUAAGCCAUCUCUAGGAUUAUUCAUCAGUGCCCCCCGAUCUCUGAAAGCGUAUUAGAGCCUGCAGCCGAUCAUUUCCAAUAAUUGGCAGUAGACCAUUUCCAUGAGUUGACAUUCACAAUCUCCAUAACUUUUGCCUCCCAAUUAAUACCCGUGUCAUCAAUGCCCCUUGAUUGGUCUUUCUCUAUACUUCUCCAAGAGAGGUUCAUAGGGGUGUCAGUUGUACAUCUAAAAGAAGGUAUUCUCUACAUUUUCAAUUUUAUAUUUGAUUUUGUCUCUCAGCUUUGAUUAA